CCUGGGGACGCAUCCCUCCGCGGAGAGCGAGCCCGGGGACCCCCCGCCCAGCUCUGCUGCGCCCGUUUUCUUCCGGGACCCCGCGAGGUCCUUCCACUGGGCCGGAGCGGGACGGGCGGAGAGCGCAGCCGGCAUCUCGCGCGCGGUGGCCGCGCCGGGGCGGCCCGGGCGCCUGCCUCGCUCCGUCCAUGGAAACCCGCAGGGCGAGCGCCGCGCGGAGCCUGGACCUUUGCUAGAAAGAGAGAUCCAGUUGUCAUCAGUAUCCAGGGAGCCCUCCUCUUCCUCCUCCUCCUCCUGCCGCCUCUCUACCACCGCGGUUGCUGGUUGUUGCUAAGGUUGCCUCCAUGGUAACAUGCACAUCCUGUUUACACCUCCAUCUGGGCAAGUCGGUCUAAGCUAGGAACCUACCUACCCUGGACGGCCGCUUC
rnacentral:lncRNA from 1 species